AGUGAACGCUGGCGGUAGGCCUAACACAUGCAAGUCGAACGGCAGCACAGUAAGAGCUUGCUCUUACGGGUGGCGAGUGGCGGACGGGUGAGGAAUACAUCGGAAUCUACUUUUUCGUGGGGGAUAACGUAGGGAAACUUACGCUAAUACCGCAUACGACCUACGGGUGAAAGCAGGGGAUCUUCGGACCUUGCGCGAUUGAAUGAGCCGAUGUCGGAUUAGCUAGUUGGCGGGGUAAAGGCCCACCAAGGCGACGAUCCGUAGCUGGUCUGAGAGGAUGAUAAGCCACACUGGAACUGAGACACGGUCCAGACUCCUACGGGAGGCAGCAGUGGGGAAUAUGGGACAAUGGGCGCAAGCCUGAUCCAGCCAUACCGCGUGGGUGAAGAAGGCCUUCGGGUUGUAAAGCCCUUUUGUUGGGAAAGAAAAGCAGCAGGUUAAUACCCCGCUGUUCUGACGGUACCCAAAGAAUAAGCACCGGCUAACUUCGUG
rnacentral:rRNA from 1 species